rnacentral:rRNA from 1 species
CACACCGCCCGUCAAGUCACCUGAAUUGUCUGCACCCGAAGCCAGUGGCCGAACUCGCAAGAGACGGAGCUGUCUAAGGUGUGGGAGUAAGGGGGACU